UCGGACCCAAGACCAAGGCCUGGGUGGCAGGGACACGUGACCUGUCUGUUUGGAAGCUGUGGGGACUGUUCCUCAGGCCCAGACCGCCGACGGUUGUAGAGCCCACGAGCCCGGCCCGUCUCCGCGGUGAACGGCUCGCCGAAGAGGCCUCUGGGAAUUGUAGCUGGGGGAGGGUGGGGGAGCCGGGCCAGUGCGCGAGGUCCGAGCUGCGACCGUUACUCGCCUCCGCCGUCGGAGAGAGCUCGGGGGUCGCAGCCACACCCGCCCUUCCGACAGAGAAGGCUUUGCCUCGGCUUUCGGGAGCCCAGGCAGGAGGGCGGCCGCAAGGCGGGGUGUCGGCCCUGGCUCAGGGGAAGAAAGUUUCUUAAAUAAGAUGCUCAGGGAGAGUUUGUCUGAAACGAACCCUCCCACGGCACAAGUGAGCCUCCUUGGGGACUUCUCCAGUCAAGAAUGACCACAGCAGUGACGGGGGGCUGUGUCCCAGUGCCUCGGGAUCCUUCAGAAGCAGGACAGAAUUCUGACCAUGAAGGUGGAAGCAGAGGACCACUCGUAGGGGAAAGACUAUGCUGCCAGAUAAUUACAGACGGUGGCCCGAGGAGUAAGGACAAGGCAUUCAGCUCAUAUCGGGAACUUGCUGAAAGCAGAACCCACAGGUGACUUCACAGGUACCAGAGCUGGGAGACACCUCGGAAUGUUCCAGUACCUUAGACCAGCAUUAGGGAACCUCCAGAUGGGAGGCCAAGCAGCUGCCCCGCCCAAAAAAAGAAUUUCAAGCAGGAGAGAGAAGCAGCAACCAUGACAGUGACAAAAGUGACCCACACUGCAGGCCAGACUUAAAGGAAGCUCUGUGAGGAAGAACCGCAUCUCGUCCUUGGUAUUCUCCGUGGCUCCUCUGAGCACCGCAGGACUUGGGGUGGAGACUGGCUGUGGCUGUGGACGCUACGGUCCAAGAGGACGGGCUCGCCGCUCAGCGAGCUCGUGGGUGGAGGCGCACCUGUGACUGAAGACGUGGCCUGCCUUCUCCGGGACGGUGGCCGGCUCAGGCAGGAGGAAGGUGACCUCGUCCUUGCUGCCACCCCUUCCCCCCGCCCCCCCAACCCCAGGCAGCCUUGCCACAUUCGCCCCGAUACCCAGAGGCCGCUGCUGCAUCCCGUUGCCUCUGCCGCUGCCUGGGCGUGCCGUUGGGAGGGGCGGCAGGGAACAAGCAAGAAACGGGUAUGGUCGUGAAGC